GGCAGCAUAUCAAUUCAAAGUAAUUUGAAUUAUGCCUCAUACAUUCACAUGAAUUGGAAACAAAGUUUAAACUAAUAAGAAGCCAAAUGUUGAAGAAAUUUAGCCUGAAAAAAAUAUGAGAAACUAUCUUGCAUGGAACAUUUUUCCAUGGCUGGUGACAGAGGCAGAGAAGGAAAUUAUGUAAUGAAAGCUGGUUAAGGGGAGAAGUUCCUGUGGUUGGCAAGGUGGGUAGUGACAGAAGCUAUGGGAAGUGAGCAGUUAUGUAGGCCACCUUGACAGGGUUGUUUUGUUUUGUUUUGUUUUGUUUUGUUUUGUUUUUUAAGAGUUCUCCCUUUCCAACUCUCAUUUCAAUCUGUGCUAAGUCGUGAGGAGCACACUUGGAAGACAGCAAAGCCUUGGUGAGAGUGUGGGGUUACCAUGGGGAGGAGCCGGAGCUGCAUGGUGCUGUCCACGGUUCUGAUUAUCCUAGGACUGCUGCAUGAUCAAGGACGCCGCAGAAUCCAAAGGAGUUACAUGUUGGAAGAAAGAAAGAAGCUCUAAAAACUGAACGCUCUUCAGUGAGUCCUG
rnacentral:lncRNA from 1 species